UACAGAGGUCUCAAGCGUUGUUCGGAUUCAUUGGGCGUAAAGGGCGCGUAGGCGGGCGGUCAAGUCGGAGGUGAAAGCCUGCAGCUCAACUGCAGAAGUGCCCCCGAAACUGAUCAUCUCGAGGGAGGUAGGGGCGUGCGGAACUUCCGGUGGAGCGGUGAAAUGCGUAGAUAUCGGGAGGAACACCGGUGGCGAAAGCGGCGCGCUGGACCACUACUGACGCUGAAGAACGAAAGCGAGGGGAGCAAACAGG
rnacentral:rRNA from 1 species